rnacentral:rRNA from 1 species
GCGGCAACAGCUCAGAUUUGAAAGCUGGCCCCCUAGCAGGGGUCCGCGUUGUAAUCUGCAGAGGACGCCUCUGGCGAGGCGGUGCACUAAGUCCCCUGGAACGGGGCGCCAUAGAGGGUGACAGCCCCGUGCGUGCGCCGCCGAGCCUGUGUGAGGCUCCUUCGACGAGUCGAGUAGUUUGGGAAUGCUGCUCUAAACGGGAGGUACAUGCCUUCUAAAGCUAAAUACCCGCCAGAGACCGAUAGCGCACAAGUAGCGUAAGCGAAAGGUGAAAAGCACCCUGGAGAGAGGGUUAAACAGAACGUGAAAUUGCUGCAAGGGAAGCGCUAGCGUUGAGACGCGGGCCGGCCUGUUUACCCCGCCUUCUGGCGGGGCCACUCAGCGUCCGCGCCUGGGCCAGCACCGGCUUCCGAGGCCGCUGAAGACCGCCGGGAACGUGGCUCCUCCGGGAGUGUUAUAGCCCGGCGGGCGAUGCGGCCGAGGGGGCCGAGGUACCUGCGCCUUCGGGCAUGGGUGCUGGCGUAAUCAUCAUUAGCGACCCGUCUUGAAACACGGACCAAGGAGUCGAGGUAUCGCGCGAGUGUUGGGGCGUCAAACCCCUAACGCGCAGUGAAAGCGAACGCUUGUGGGAAGCCUUACGGCGGCACCACAGACCGAUCCAGAAGCCUCGGCGGACGGAUUUGAGUAGGAGCGCGGUGCCUCGGACCCGAAAGAUGGUGAACUAUGCUUGGAUAGGGUGAAGCCAGGGGAAACUCUGGUGGAGGCUCGCAGCGGUUCUGACGUGCAAAUCGAUCGUCGAAUCUGGGCAUAGGGGCGAAAGACUAAUCGAACCAUCUAGUAGCUGGUUACGGCCGAAGUUUCCCUCAGGAUAGCAGUGUUGGAUUCCUCAGUUUUAUGAGGUAGAGCGAAUGAUUAGGGACUCGGGGGCGCUAUUUAGCCUUCAUCCAUUCUCAAACUUCGAAUGCGUAAGAAGCCCCCGUUGCUUCGGUGAACGGGGGCCUUCGAAUGUACCAACACUAGUGGGCCAUUUUUGGUAAGCAGAACUGGCGAUGCGGGAUGAACCGAACGGGGGGUUAAGGCGCCUAAGUGAACGCUCAUGAGACACCACAAAAGGCGUUAGUACAUCUUGACAGCAGGACGGUGGCCAUGGAAGUCGGAAUCCGCUAAGGACUGUGUAACAACUCUCCUGCCGAAUGUACUAGCCCUGAAAAUGGAUGGCGCUAAAGCGUUCCGCCUAUACCUCCCCCUUAGGGCGGCUCUGUUGCCCCAAGGAGUAGGCCGUCGCG